AGAGUUUGAUCCUGGCUCAGAAUCAACGCUGGCGGCGUGCCUAACACAUGCAAGUCGAACGAGAAAGUUACCUUCGGAUAGCGAGUAAAGUGGCAAACGGGUGAGUAACGCGUGGGACAUCUACCCUGAUGAGGGGAAUAACUCUUCGAAAGGAGAGCUAAUACCGCAUAAUCCGGUUUACCGGGAAAGGCCUUCGGGUCACAUUAGGAGGAGCCCGCGUCCGAUUAGCUAGUUGGUGAGGUAAUGGCUCACCAAGGCUGCGAUCGGUAGCCGGUCUGAGAGGACGGACGGCCACACUGGGACUGAGACACGGCCCAGACUCCUACGGGAGGCAGCAGUGGGGAAUUUUGGGCAAUGGGCGAAAGCCUGACCCAGCAACGCCGCGUGGAGGAAGAAGGUUUUCGGAUCGUAAACUCCUGUCCCAUGAGACGAAAAAAAUGACGGUAUCAUGGGAGGAAGCCCCGGCUAACUCCGUGCCAGCAGCCGCGGUAAUACGGGGGGGGCAAGCGUUGUUCGGAAUUACUGGGCGUAAAGGGCGCGUAGGCGGUUUCGGAAGUCAAGGGUGAAAGCCCCGAGCUCAACUCGGGAACUGCCUUUGAAACCACGGAACUAGAGUGUUGGAGAGGAAAGCGGAAUUUCCAGUGUAGCGGUGAAAUGCGUAGAUAUUGGAAGGAACAUCUGAGGCGAAGGCGGCUUUCUGGACAGACACUGACGCUGAGGCGCGAAAGCUAGGGGAGCGAACGGGAUUAGAUACCCCGGUAGUCCUAGCUGUAAACGAUGAACACUUGGUGUGGGGGGUAUAAAGUCCCUCCGUGCCGUAGAUAACUCGAUAAGUGUUCCGCCUGGGGAGUACGGCCGCAAGGCUGAAACUCAAAGGAAUUGACGGGGGCCCGCACAAGCGGUGGAGCAUGUGGUUUAAUUCGACGCAACGCGAAGAACCUUACCGGGGUUUGAACUGUACCGGCAACAUCCAGAGAUGGAUGGUUUCCUUCGGGAACUGGUAUAGAGGUGCUGCAUGGCUGUCGUCAGCUCGUGUCGUGAGAUGUUGGGUUAAGUCCCGCAACGAGCGCAACCCUUGUCUGUAGUCGCCAUCAGGUUAAGCUGGGCACUCUACGGAGACUGUCGGCGAUAAGCCGGAGGAAGGUGGGGAUGACGUCAAGUCCUCAUGGCCUUUAUGUCCCGGGCUACACACGUGCUACAAUGGGUGGAACAGAGGGCAGCGAGCCUGCGAAGGCAAGCGAAUCCCAAAAAUCCAUUCUCAGUUCGGAUUGCAGUCUGCAACUCGACUGCAUGAAGUUGGAAUCGCUAGUAAUCGCGGAUCAGAACGCCGCGGUGAAUACGUUCCCGGGCCUUGUACACACCGCCCGUCACAUCACGAAAGUGGGCUGUACUAGAAGCCGCCGGCCUAACCUCUUCGGAGGAGGGAGGCGUCGACGGUAUGGUUCAUGAUUGGGGUGAAGUCGUAACAAGGUA
rnacentral:rRNA from 1 species